ACCUCUGCAACAAAUGAUUUGUUUUCACAUUGUAACUCCAAAUCCUUUAUUUGAGAGCAUUUAAAUUUAUUUAAAAAUUUAAAGAACCUUUGACCGUUUUUAGCCAAAUCUGCUGCUGCGGGCCGCAUAUAUUUGACAAUUUUUCCCAAUAAAAGUCCCCCAAACAUGGCAUCUUCCCGCACUUAUUUUGAUCAUCCAGAACGUCAAGAUGUGCCAAUAAGAAUAAAACCAAUUUUUGAAUUAAUUAUCUGGAUGGGAGUGAUAAUUAAAGUGAAGUCAAAUCCGUGCAAUUUAGAAUUUUACUCACUUAAUUUACCCCCUCCCCAGUCAUGUAUAUAUUAAUAGUUUACAUUUUAGAAUAUUGUAGACCAUUAUUAAAAAUUCCCCAGCCCAUCCAGAAGAAUAAGUUUUAACGAAUAAUUAUUUUGGCACUAAAGACAAAGAGAUUAGAAUUAAACACAUAGAUUUCCACUUAAAAGACAAGGGUAACUUUUUAUCUGACAUCUGAUAUGAAAACAAACAUUCAAAAUGUUGCCGCCCUUAGUUCCCUUAGUUAGCCGCACUUAGACCCUUUUAGUUAUCACACACACACACACACACCAAGUUAGGGGAUUGUCGCGCCUGAGGCAGGAUCCACCUUCAGACUCCUCCCUCCAGCAACGACAGAGGGGUAAAGGGUAUAAAAGUCUGCCGACGCACUACUCAAGGCAGAAGCGAGCUGCCACUUCCCUGGAGAGCUUGCCACCUACCUAGAGAGGAGAGACUACUUUCUACUUGGUCUAGGACGCUUCCCUGAGAGCCAGGCUGAACGACUUCCCAUCUAAACCUAGGAGAUCUUGGAGAACAGACUUCCUGAGACGAGCCCCAUGCAGACCAGUACGGACCGUUAAGGGGGACACCUGUGGCAGGCGACUCCCGGAAAGAAACUAGCUUCGAGUGAGGAGGGAACACAACUGCAUCAGUCACUGCCUGAGUGCUCAGGACCUGACUUGUGAUGCAGCCAACGACCUAGGAGGAGAAGCUAAUUGGGCACUGUAAACACCGGUGGGACUUCAUUUAUUCGAGGACUGGCCUGAGAAGAGAACGUUGGAAGAUUUUCUGGCCGGUGUGGAAAGCCUAAUUCUCCUCCAACCUAACCUGACACCUGCAGGGCUAAGAACUGCUAUGGCCACCUGGAUGACCGAACACCGACUGGAGCGCGAUUUCCUCGAGUGCGAGCAACAGAGCUCUGACUCCGUGACAAGAUACUAUAAGAAUCUGACGGGCAAAAUGCGGAAACUUCGUUCUGCCUAUCCCCAGGGUCGUAUCCCCUCACACUCGUGGGACGAUCACUGGGACGAUCGUGCAAUGACACAGUUUAUAAAUGGCCUGAAGUCAGCUAUACAACUGAAAAUUUGCAUGUUUGAACCGAAAACCCUGACGGAAGCGAAACGGUUGGCGUUAAGGGCGGAAAAAAUGAUUGAGUUUUACCAGGAGAGGGAAGAAGAAGAGCUGCGAGCAGCGCAAGUUUCAAUUUACUCUACUCAGUUGCCUGCCAUGCCGCAGUAUCGACAAGUAAGAUUUAAUCCCCUUCAAGCAACAACCAGCACGAGCGCUAGCGAACCUCGCGUCACACCAAACCCAUACCAUCAUACCAAAGCCACCACCAGGACUCGACACUGAGCCCCUAUCGAGGGCGCUCACCAAGAAGGCAGGACAACGAUCAGCCGAAAUUUUUUGUGACCUCUGCAAUCGGACAGGACAUUGACUACAGGACUGCGAAUAUUUAUAUUGCGGGAUCUGUGAACAGCAGGGACACUGCCCUUCUGAAUGUUUAUAGAUAACCCAAAAAACGAGUAAAAUUUGCUUCUCGCCCUCUUGCUGUUCGCGCCGCUCGCUGGAAGAAUGGACGCGGAGGGAGGCAAACUCUGAAGGUUCUGUACAAUAAAACAAUAGGAUGUGUUUCAUAUAUACGAUUACUAAUAGUCUGGGCCCACUUCGGCUUUGUCCCCCAGGGCAGGGUCUUAGUCACUUGUUUUCCUAAAGUGUCGCCCU